rnacentral:rRNA from 1 species
GAUGAACGCUAGCGACAGGCUUAACACAUGCAAGUCGAGGGGCAACGGGACGUAGCAAUACGUUGCCGGCGACCGGCGGAUGGGUGAGUAACGCGUAUGCAACCUACCCACGACAGGGGGAUAGCCCGUUGAAAGACGGAUUAAUACCCCAUAAAAACAGGGGUUCCGCAUGGGACUAUUUGUUAAAGGGUUCUCCGCGAGGGGGACAUCGGUUGUGGAUGGGCAUGCGUUCCAUUAGGCAGUUGGUGAGGUAACGGCUCACCAAACCGACGAUGGAUAGGGGAACCGAGAGGUUGGUCCCCCACACUGGUACUGAGAUACGGACCAGACUCCUACGGGAGGCAGCAGUGAGGAAUUUUGGUCAAAUGGACGAAGUCUGAACCAGCCAAGUCGCGUGAAGGAGGCGGCCCUAAGGUUGUAAACUUCUUUUGUAAGGGAAUAAAGUGACGUUACGUGUAGUGCAUUGCAAGUACCUUACGAAUAAGGAUCGGCUAACUCCGUGCCAGCAGCCGACGGUAAAAGUCACGUCG